UACGGAGGGGGCUAGCGUUGUUCGGAAAUACUGGGCGUAAAGCGUACGUAGGCGGCAUGGCAAGUCAGGGGUGAAAUCCCGGAGCUCAACUCCGGAACUGCCCUUGAAACUGCUUCGCUAGAAUCUUGGAGAGGUCAGUGGAAUUCCGAGUGUAGAGGUGAAAUUCGUAGAUAUUCGGAAGAACACCAGUGGCGAAGGCGACUGACUGGACAAGUAUUGACGCUGAGGUACGAAAGCGUGGGGAGCAAACAGG
rnacentral:rRNA from 2 species